UAGCCGUAAACGAUACUCGCUAGGUGUCGGCCACGGUGCGACCGUUGUCGGUGCCGUAGGGAAGCCGUGAAGCGAGCCACCUGGGAAGUACGGCCGCAAGGCUGAAACUUAAAGGAAUUGGCGGGGGAGCACCACAACGGGUGGAGCUUGCGGUUUAAUUGGAUUCAACACCGGAAAACUCACCAGGGGAGACUGUUGCAUGAAACCCAGACUAAUGAUCUUGGUUGAUUUUCAGAGAGGAGGUGCAUGGCGUCAGUGACU
rnacentral:rRNA from 1 species